GUUCAUCAAUGCCUACAACAGCCGGCGCGACCUGGAGAUUGAGCGACCAAUGCCGGGAACCCACACAGUCACCCUGCAGUGCCCUGCUCUGUUGGUGGUUGGGGACAGCUCGCCUGCAGUGGAUGCCGUGGUGGAGUGCAACUCAAAAUUAGACCCAACAAAGACCACUCUCCUCAAGAUGGCGGACUGUGGCGGCCUCCCGCAGAUCUCCCAGCCGGCCAAGCUCGCUGAGGCCUUCAAGUACUUCGUGCAGGGCAUGGGAUACAGUGAGUAUGGCAUUCCCCGUGUGCAGUGGGUCGGGGCAUGUGUCGGAAUUGGAAGUGCUCUGUCCUGAGCCAGGUUUGGAUGAGCAAUUCUGUGUCCCCCUGGCCAGCUUCAGCUUUCUGGGAGGAAAGAGUUAGGUGUGUGGAG
rnacentral:sRNA from 1 species